rnacentral:rRNA from 1 species
UACGGAGGGUGCAAGCGUUAUUCGGAAUUACUGGGCGUAAAGCGCACGCAGGCGGUUUGUUAAGUCCGAUGUGAAAUCCCCGAGCUUAACUUGGGAACUGCAUUUGAAACUGGCAAGCUAGAGUCUUGUAGAGGGGGGUAGAAUUCCAGGUGUAGCGGUGAAAUGCGUAGAGAUCUGGAGGAAUACCGGUGGCGAAGGCGGCCCCCUGGACAAAGACUGACGCUCAGGUGCGAAAGUAUGGGGAGCAAAAAGG